rnacentral:rRNA from 1 species
UACGGGGGGGGCAAGCGUUGUUCGGAAUUACUGGGCGUAAAGGGUUCGUAGGUGGCCGACUAAGUCAGACGUGAAAUCCCUCAGCUCAACUGGGGAACUGCGUCUGAGACUGGCCGGCUUGAGUGCAGGAGAGGGAUGUGGAAUUCCAGGUGUAGCGGUGAAAUGCGUAGAUAUCUGGAGGAACACCGGUGGCGAAGGCGGCAUCCUGGACCGAAACUGACACUGAGGCGCGAAAGCCAGGGGAGCAAACGGG